rnacentral:misc_RNA from 1 species
UGUGAUUUGGAUUAAUCAUAUAAAAGAGUAAAAUAAAUUGUAUAAUUAUUACUGUACAAAAAAGUCAAAACUAAGUUUACAAAAUUGCCACUAAUCGUGCGCGUUUUUAUUGAACUGCUAGUCUCUGCAGAUGAUCUAAGAAGACCUCAAAGCUUACAUCAUCUGUAAACAAUAUAUCUCCGCCUGGAAGAGGAGAAUCAGUAUUGUAUGUAGCAGACGGAUUCAACUUUGCCAGAAGAAAACGAGCCUGUGAACCAUGUUGAUCACAAAUGACUAAACGAGGAACAGGAAACCUUUCCUUGAUUAUCGCAUCCACAUCGUCACGGGGCGCUUGCAGCAAUUGGGCAAAUGCCUG